rnacentral:rRNA from 1 species
AUCCUGGCUCAGGAUGAACGCUAGCGGCAGGCUUAACACAUGCAAGUCGAGGGGCAACGCGAGUAGCAAUACUUGGCGGCGACCGGCGCAAGGGUGCGUAACGCGUGAGCAACAUGCCCGUAUCAGGGGGAUAAUCCAGGGAAACUUGGUCUAAUACCCCAUAGUAAUUUUGUAAGGCAUCUUAUAAGAUUUAAAGCUUUGGUGGAUACGGAUUGGCUCGCGUGACAUUAGCUGGAUGGUAAGGUAACGGCUUACCAUGGCUAUGAUGUCUAGGGGUUCUGAGAGGAAGGUCCCCCACACUGGAACUGAGACACGGUCCAGACUCCUACGGGAGGCAGCAGUGAGGAAUAUUGGACAAUGGAUGGAAAUCUGAUCCAGCCAUGCCGCGUGAAGGAAGAAAGGUCCUAUGGAUUGUAAACUUCUUUUGUAUGGGAGCAAUAAGGCCUACGUGUAGGUUGAUGAGAGUACCAUACGAAUAAGCACCGGCUAACUCCGUGCCAGCAGCUGC